GGAGGGUUGGCCGAGUGGUCUAAGGCGGCGGAUUGCUAAUCCGUAGCAGGGGGUCACCUCUGUCGAAGGUUCGAAUCCUUCACUCUCCG
rnacentral:tRNA from 1 species